rnacentral:lncRNA from 1 species
GGAGGCAGAGUCCUGCUCCCAUUUCACAGAUGAAGAAACUAAUCAGAAAGAGGACAUUUUGAGUUUUUUAGGAGGCAGGCUCCUACCCAACUAUAAUCCUGGGGCAAAGCAUGUACACUGGUGCCCUAGAGCUGUGGCCUAUGAACAGGGAGCCUGUAAUAGUACCUGGAACCAAGCAACAUUCAGUAGAUAACUAGCUAAGAACUAAAUCUCAGCCCUGCGCCUGGUGGGAACAGCAGUUUUGAGACAGCACCUAUUCCAUCUGUACCUCUGUCCUUUGACCAAGUCCCCUCCCUUAUCUGCCCAGCUUGGGCUAAUCCUACCUACAUCUGAUGUCUUCUCAGAGAACCAUAGAAUGAGCCCUGGACUCCUAUCUUCCUGGAGUGAUAGUUCUGCAGUCUUGAGGGAUUUGAGUGGGAGGUCAGGGUUGCAGUAGUCAGACCUUCAGGCCAGAGAAAACAGCCUCCAGACCCAUGGGGAUUUCCGGAGCAGUGAGGGUGGGAGCAUCAGCUUGGUGGGCCUCACAAUGUAGUCCUGGCUGCUCUGAAACUCACUACACAGACCAGGCGGGCCUUGAAUUCAGAGAGAUCCACCUGCCUCCUAAGUGCUGGGACAGGAAGAAAAGUGGAUGUCACCACACCCUGUAUGGAAACAGUCCUAAGACAGUGGACACACUGUGCUAUUCUGCUUAGAGAUUCUGGUCCUAACCUUGCCAGGUGCUAUUUGGCACAAACCAUACAAGGAAAAGGGAGGCAGAAUCCUGGGUCUGUAUGUUCUAGGAUGUUCCAACACUUACCCCUCCUCACUCACUGUAUCUGGAGAAGUCGGGAUGCUGACUGUGCGGAGGGACCUGCUCCCUGGGGAUGAGCAACCAUCAUGAAGAUCCUGACCCACGAAGUAAAGGACCUGUCCACCUUGAAGCCUAGAGCCAGUACAGAUCAAGUCCUGCACACCGGGAAAAGGCUCUGUGCUAGGCAGUCUCGGGCAGAGGGUCUGGCUCACUCAGUAAAUAAAGGUGCUUUCCUUGCCAGUGGGGAGACUUGAGUUUGAUCCCCUGAACCUGGGAUGGUAAACCCAACAAUGAAGAGGCAGAGACAGAAGACUCCCUACGGCUUACAAGCCAGCCAUCCUAAUUAGUGAGCUCCAGUGAGAAGCCCUAACUCUGAGAAGGUGGGCAGCAUUCUGUGCACCCCAGCCUCCCACCUCACGCAUGCAUCCAUAUGCAUUUAAAAGAAAAAAAAAACAAAACAAAAAACUCUAAACCAGAUUCUCUCUGGUCCUCAACUUGCCAGGCACUAUUUGGCACAGGAAGUUGCAAUUUAAGCAUUUUUCUUUGAGACUCCCUACCUCUAAGCAAACUCAAGAAGCCCAAGGCUAAGGGGUCUGUAGUGGAGAGAGCCAGGUGCCCCAGUGGGCUUGACUUCCUCAGGGAGGAAAUGAUACCAAUACUGUGCCUGGCCUCCUUUGAUCUCAGGGUCUUCCCAUUUUAUACCUCAGCAACUGGGAGAUGCAGAGCCUCACCUGUCCAAUCUACUUGGGAGCCAGAGAGAUUAUUGUUCCCACGGAAAAUAUAACAUGAACAGGGACUGUCACAAGCAAGCCAUCUACACGCAACACUAUCCUAUGAGUGUGUGCUUAAGAAGAGAACGUGGAGGCGGGGCGGGGCAGGAAAGACCACCCACUCUGGAGAGGGAGGGAUGCCACCUUGGUUCUACCCCUCAAAAAAUAUUUUUGCUUACAUUAUUUAUUGAAGUUUCAACUGAGUUUUCAACCAACCAGCCUUCAAGUCUCCAGCACCGGUGUGAAGGACAGCCCCCCACCUCAAUAACCACCUGACCUGCCUUCUAGUAGCAGUCUAGGACCCUCGAUUACUGUGUCCCUGUCCACCCUCAGUGCUCCCUGUGUCUGUGACUCUCUCCUUUCCAUCACUCUCUUCCUCCUCCUCCUCCUCCUCCUCCUCGCAGACCUCACAGCUACUCCAGCCUGGUCACCACACCUGCCCUCUUGAAUCCCACUCUGAAGCCCUUGCCUAUCUUUUUUUUUUCCCUCUGUCAAUAUCAUCCCCAUUUCUCAGAUGAAGGGACUGAAUAGUUGGUGCCAAAGUUGUUCUCUAACCCGAGUUUUGCUGUCCUGGGGCUUCUUCCAUACAGACUCAUUAUGGGGUGCCUGUGCUUCAGAUCCUGCAGUGGUUCCCUACAGCCAUGGGAUCCACGCAGUCCAGGACUUUACAUCUACUGUUCUGUGUAGAAGGCUUGAUUCAAGCUUAUCAUAGAAGGCCCUGCUUUAGACGCAGUGCAACUCCACUGAGAAGCCUGUGUAGGGGUCACUCUGAGCCUGAGUUUGGGCCAUACCUACACAGCCAGCAGUAGUGUUGGUGAUACUUGCAAAAGGUGUCCCUUGGAGUCUGUUCACGCUUGUGCUACACACACACACUUCUCUCUCUUCCCCUUCCCUCCCUCUCCUGCCCCCCUCUCUCUCUCUCUCUCUCUCUCUCUUUUGUUUUGUUUUUUGUUUUUCGAG